UAGACCUUACUUCAUAGGAUCAUUUCUACAGUAAGCUCUUCACGAGAAACUCACACCACGUGAGACUCACACCAGUCACGAUGAGGAGACGUGGCGCGGUGUCCUGGGCGUGAGGUGGGCGAUGGUAAAAGCUAUCAGUCCUCGAUGAUCGUUCACUUCUCUCUUUCGAGAGAGUAGCGUGGGUCGCUGUCGCUGUCUGAGUGGC